UAGCUGGUCUGAGAGGAUGACCAGCCACACUGGAACUGAGACACGGUCCAGACUCCUACGGGAGGCAGCAGUGGGGAAUAUUGGACAAUGGGGGCAACCCUGAUCCAGCAAUGCCGCGUGUGUGAAGAAGGCCUGAGGGUUGUAAAGCACUUUCAGUGGGGAGGAGGGAGUUUAGGUUAAGAGCUAGAACUUUGGACGUUACCCACAGAAGAAGCACCGGCUAACUCCGUGCCAGCAGCCGCGGUAAUACGGAGGGUGCGAGCGUUAAUCGGAAUUACUGGGCGUAAAGGGUGCGUAGGUGGUUGUAUAAGUUAUCUGUGAAAUCCCUGGGCUUAACCUGGGCAGGUCAGAUAAGACUGUAUAACUCGAGUAUGGGA
rnacentral:rRNA from 1 species